UCUGAGAUCAUUGCUCUACAUGAGGCAGUUUGUGAGUGUUUAUGGUUAAGUCCAUAAUUAAAUAUAUUCGAGGGGCUAAUGGUUUGAGUUCUACCACUGAAGAGCCUGCUUGCAUUUAUGAUCAUAAUGCAACUUGCAUCGAACAGAUGAAGGUAGAGUAUAUCAAGGGUGAUAGUACAAAAUACAUAACGCCAAAGUUCUUCUACAUUCAACAACAAUAGACUCUCCUUAAGAUUCAAGUGAAUCAAGUAAUGUAUAAGGAGGAUGCGGCGGAUUUAUAUACCAAAUCCUUGCCAGGGGCUACAUUUGAAAAGCAUGUGAGAAACAUCGGAAUGCAAAGACUUUCCAAGUUCCCCUGAUUGAUGUAAGGAUCAGGGGAAAGGCGUAGACUUCAGGGGGAGUCUAAUGCACACAUGCCAUCUUCAAAUGUAAUAGGUGCGUUGAUGUAAUAGGUGCGUUGUAUUUUUUUCCCUUCGACCAAGGUUUUAUUUUUUCUCACUGCAUUUUGUCACUUGACAAAGUUUUUAACAAGACAACACUACAUGCAUUGUUUCGUCUUUGACUUGGCACAAGGAGGAGUGUUGAUAGAAAAAUACAUUUAUGUGCUUUUGUUGAAGUAACUGACCAGAGGAAAUUAAGGGAUUAAUGUGUGUGUGUAUAUAUAUAUAUAUCAGACGUAAUUAUUGUUGUACCCGUUGUAAUUAGGGUUGGGCACUUAGUACCUGAAUUCUGAUCUCAUACCGGUCCCGUACUGAAAGUUAGCAGGACGGGACGGGAUAGAGUUUUAAAAAUGCCUAUACCGUCCCGUCCCAUUAUUGAAUUUUGAAACGGGACGGGACAGGAUUGAGACUAUCCCAAAAAGUCUCGUCCCGUCCCACGAUAUUAAAAUAUUAAAUUUUUUAUACUGUAUUAGAUCAUACACGUCCAUUCAUAAGUUGUAUUAGAUCAUAUGCGUCCAUUUCUUAAGUUGUAUGAAAUCAAUCACACCUCUCAAUGAUUUCUCAAGGACACUUUCAUUUCAUGAACUCCUUAUUUGGCCUCACCCUCACAAAGACACUUACAGCCUUUCUCUUCUAUCUACAAUAAGACCUCUAUAAAUAAAUAAUGUUAGGAACAUGAAAAAUUAUACUUUAGAGAGGUUAUUAUAUUAUCGAUAAAUGAACAAUAUUCACUUAUCGAUAAUUUAUUACUUUAUAUAGGGUUUUGUUAUUAACAGUUUUCUUAAUUUGUUAAGAGUUUCCUUAAUUUUUCAUAAUACAAGGAAAAAGCAAAGGACUUUAUAUAGAUAUUUUUGGGAAAUAACUAAAUUGAGGAAUUAAAAUUGUUCAGAGUUUGUAUCAUUAUGAACAUUAAUUACUUUUUCUUUAUUUAUUUUAUUAAUUUUUAAUAUUUUUGGAUGAUUUUCUUUUUUGGCUAUUAUGUCGGGACGACCCGAUCCCGUCUUGAUCCGGCCCGUCACCAAUCGAGACGGGAUGGGACGAGAUCAAUUCUUAAAAUCGACAUUCUCGUACCAUCCUGUCCCAUUCUUUUAUUUUCGGGACGGGACGAGAUUCAUCAAAUCCCGUCCAUGUCCAGUCCUAGUUGUAAUUCCUGCUUCAUAUAAAGAAUAUUAGUAAUGAUACGAGUUGACCAAUUCCAAUUGCAUUUUAAUUUUGUAGACAUAUUUUAUUAAACCCAAAAAAGAUGUAAAAGACUAAAAUACCUUUGAAAAUAUGUUCUCCCUGAUGGAGCUAACGUAUCCAGAUACAAUAUAUCCUCGAGAUAAGAAGGUGAGAUACAUUUUGAAAAACUUUAAAAUGUGAAACAGUGUUUAAACCAUUGUUCUAGGGAAAAAAAAAAAAAAAAAAACCUAACGCAAUUGCAAUUGGGGCCGUCCGUGAAAGUAGUACUGUAGAUGAGAAUACUACAAGGUGCAUCAGACGGUUGUAGUUAACUCUCAGCUUUGGAGCUUUGGUUAGCCUCGAGAGUUGAAUCUGUUUCGGUAUCUUGUUCACGUCCCCCUUAUCUCGUAACCCCUUNUCUCUCUCUCUCUCGUCUNUCUCNCUNCUCGUACUNACGUNUACNUNUNUACUNCUNUCUCGUNUNUCUCUNUCUCUCUCNCUACUACCUCCUCUCUCUCUCUCUCUCUCUCUCUCUCUCUCUCUCUCUCUAAUGGCGAAU
rnacentral:lncRNA from 1 species